UUGAACUGAUUUCAACAAUGAAGCGAGUGGCGAACUGGUGAGUAACACGUGGGAAAUCUGCCCAGAAGCAGGGGAUAACACUUGGAAACAGGUGCUAAUACCGUAUAACAACAAAAUCCGCAUGGAUUUUGUUUGAAAGGUGGCUUCGGCUAUCACUUCUGGAUGAUCCCGCGGCGUAUUAGUUAGUUGGUGAGGUAAAGGCCCACCAAGACGAUGAUACGUAGCCGACCUGAGAGGGUAAUCGGCCACAUUGGGACUGAGACACGGCCCAAACUCCUACGGGAGGCAGCAGUAGGGAAUCUUCCACAAUGGACGAAAGUCUGAUGGAGCAAUGCCGCGUGAGUGAAGAAGGGUUUCGGCUCGUAAAACUCUGUUGUUAAAGAAGAACACCUUUGAGAGUAACUGUUCAAGGGUUGACGGUAUUUAACCAGAAAGCCACGGCUAACUACGUGCCAGCAGCCGCGGUAAUACGUAGGUGGCAAGCGUUGUCCGGAUUUAUUGGGCGUAAAGCGAGCGCAGGCGGUUUUUUAAGUCUGAUGUGAAAGCCUUCGGCUUAACCGGAGAAGUGCAUCGGAAACUGGGAGACUUGAGUGCAGAAGAGGACAGUGGAACUCCAUGUGUAGCGGUGGAAUGCGUAGAUAUAUGGAAGAACACCAGUGGCGAAGGCGGCUGUCUAGUCUGUAACUGACGCUGAGGCUCGAAAGCAUGGGUAGCGAACAGGAUUAGAUA
rnacentral:rRNA from 2 species